AUUGAACGCUGGCGGCAGGCCUAACACAUGCAAGUCGAACGGUAACAGGAAGCAGCUUGCUGCUUCGCUGACGAGUGGCGGACGGGUGAGUAAUGUCUGGGAAGCUGCCUGAUGGAGGGGGAUAACUACUGGAAACGGUAGCUAAUACCGCAUAAUGUCGCAAGACCAAAGAGGGGGACCUUCGGGCCUCUUGCCAUCGGAUGUGCCCAGAUGGGAUUAGCUUGUUGGUGGGGUGACGGCUCACCAAGGCGACGAUCCCUAGCUGGUCUGAGAGGAUGACCAGCCACACUGGAACUGAGACACGGUCCAGACUCCUACGGGAGGCAGCAGUGGGGAAUAUUGCACAAUGGGCGCAAGCCUGAUGCAGCCAUGCCGCGUGUAUGAAGAAGGCCUUCGGGUUGUAAAGUACUUUCAGCGGGGAGGAAGGGAGUAAAGUUAAUACCUUUGCUCAUUGACGUUACCUGCAGAAGAAGCACCGGCUAACUCCGUG
rnacentral:rRNA from 1 species